rnacentral:rRNA from 1 species
UUUGCCAUCGCGCUAUCUGCAGUCGAGCGACAGAAAGGAGCUUGCUCCUUUGACGUUAGCGGCGGACGGGUGAGUAACACGUGGGCAACUUCCCCUAUAGUUUGGGAUAAUUCCGGGAAACCGGGGCUAAUACCGGAAUAAUUUCUUUUGCUUCAUGGCCAAGAGACUGAAAGACGGUUUCGGCUGUCGCUAUAGGAUGGGCCCGCGGCGCAUUAGCUAGUUGGUGAGGUAACGGCUCACCAAGGCGACGAUGCGUAGCCGACCUGAGAGGGUGAUCGGCCACACUGGGACUGAGACACGGCCCAGACUCCUACGGGAGGCAGCAGUAGGGAAUCUUCCACAAUGGGCGAAAGCCUGAUGGAGCAACGCCGCGUGAGUG